rnacentral:rRNA from 1 species
CCUACGGGUGGCAGCAGUGAGGAAUAUUGGUCAAUGGACGCAAGUCUGAACCAGCCAUGCCGCGUGCAGGAAGACGGCUCUAUGGGUUGUAAACUUCUUUUGUAGGGGAAUAAUAGUUCUUACGUGUAGGGAUUUGCAUGUAUCUUACGAAUAAGGAUCGGCUAACUCCGUGCCAGCAGCCGCGGUAAUACGGAGGAUUCGAGCGUUAUCCGGAUUUAUUGGGUUUAAAGGGUGCGUAGGCUGUUUGUUAAGUUAGCGGUCAAAUGUUGGGGCUUAACCCUGUGAUUGCCUCUGAUACUGUUAGACUAGAGUGUGUAUGAGGCAGGCGGAAUGAGUAGUGUAGCGGUGAAAUGCUUAGAUAUCACUCAGAACACCGAUUGCGCAGGCAGCUUGCUAAGCCGCAUCUGACGCUCAUGCACGAAAGUGUGGGUAUCGAACAGGAUUAGAUACCCCAGUAGUC